AACGAACGCUGGCGGCAUGCCUAACACAUGCAAGUCGAACGAGAUCUUCGGGUCUAGUGGCGCACGGGUGCGUAACGCGUGGGAAUCUGCCCUUUGGUUCGGAAUAACAGUUGGAAACGACUGCUAAUACCGGAUGAUGACGAAAGUCCAAAGAUUUAUCGCCAGAGGAUGAGCCCGCGUAGGAUUAGCUAGUUGGUGUGGUAAAGGCGCACCAAGGCGACGAUCCUUAGCUGGUCUGAGAGGAUGAUCAGCCACACUGGGACUGAGACACGGCCCAGACUCCUGCGGGAGGCAGCAGUGGGGAAUAUUGGACAAUGGGCGAAAGCCUGAUCCAGCAAUGCCGCGUGAGUGAUGAAGGCCUUAGGGUUGUAAAGCUCUUUUACCCGGGAUGAUAAUGACAGUACCGGGAGAAUAGGCUCCGGCUAACUCCGUGCCAGCCGCCGCAGUAA
rnacentral:rRNA from 1 species